rnacentral:tRNA from 1 species
UCCCUGAUAACUCAGUUGGUAAAGAAUCUGCCUGCAGUGCAGAAGACUCCAGUUCGAAUCCUGGGUUGGGAA